UAGCUUUAUGUAACUUAAAAUGAAAGAAAAAAUGUGAAAAUAAGGCAAAAUAAAUGUAUAAAAAAUAAAGUCAGACUGUUGUACUAGGAGUAUGGGGAUUGAGUUUCUUUAGGAAUUUUGAUUGUAACUAUGGGAAAGCUAUGUGUCAAAUUUAAAAUGACUGAACAGCCUGAAGGUUUGUGCUGAGUUUGGUGGAUAUAGUUUGACCUCAAACCCAAGUUUGUUCAGUGACAGUAUGUUGGCUUUAAUGAGGUGGAUUCCUCAAGGAAUGUAUUCUGAGAAGAACUUCUUAUUCUCUGGCAAAACACAUUUUCCAACAUCUCCCACUAUCUCUCCCUCUCUCUCUCUCUCUCUAUACACACACAAAGGUUUUCUCCGAAGUCUUUCCCCUCCCUCCUCUGGCGAUCCGUCACCCCUCCUCCAGCUGCUGAUGGUCCUGCUGUAGGCAGUCUGCUCGUUCUCCUCAGUGUGAGGACAGCACACGCUCCUUCACAACCAGCCUCUUUCUCUCUCACACACUCCUGUACUAUUCUGACAAUAUUGGAUAUACUCCAAGCAGCACACCUUUGUGGAGCAUUUGAACUAACUGAGCACUUGAUUCAGGAGAAAGAAGAUCAGUCAGCACUAAGGUAUGAGGUGUGUUUGAAUAAGCCAACAAGGAGGGGUUUCUUCUUCUUGAUACUGAAAACUACUGAAGAUUUGGACGUCCACCAUGAGUCUUAAAAGGAGGAAACCAAGCAUGGCGUUCAGCUGGCACAAGUCUUUCACCAUCCUUGCCCCGUGGAGAAAAGGUAAAGGGGAUAUUGUUUUGGAUAAUGAUGUUGUACUGACAAAAAUGAAGCUCCUCAACAAUGUCCCUGAGAAACUGCUUAAUGCUGAGGAUUCCAUUUCAACCAUCUCCAUUUCAAUGUCUGAGCAGGACAACACAGAACCUCUCCAAGCUGAUGAGGUGAUCUCUGUCCAAAGCACUGCUCCUGAGACCACUGUCCCUGAAUCAAAAACAGACUAUCUAUCUUCUAUUUUUGCAGAUUCUGAACUUCCAAGAUUGUAUAAAUUUGAAUCUGAGGACUCUGGAGUAGAAAUGACUAGUGGGGCAACUUCUCCAUCCACCCCAACUGGUUCAGAGCAAAGCUUUGUGGUCCACAGUAGGGAGUCUUCAUGUGACUCUGGCAACCUGAACUCUCUUGUACCUGCUGACAAUCUUCUUGAAGACAGUUCAGUCUUCUUAGAAACUGAACAAACGUCUUGUAAGUGUGCUAAACAAGACACUCUUACCAUCCUGGGAGACAGAACAGAGGAAGAGAAUGUUGAUGAUGAUUUAAUAGAUUCAGAGAGGUCUGAGGACAGAACCCUGAGGAAUACCAUGGAGAACUGUAAAGAUACCAUUGAAAUCAUGGCAGCACAGGAGGAAAUAACAGACACUACAAUGGCUGAGGACACAAUGUCAAGCAGCCAGUGUUCUAUAGAAGCUUAUGAUGGCAAAACAGGACCUGAAUUUCAGCAACGGCCUUUGAGGAAAAGUACAACCAGCGACAGUCUGGAUGAGUACAUGGAAGAGUGCUGCAGGCUAAGUGAGGUGAACCAAGCCAAUCGGUCCAACCCUCUGGGCUCAGGACUGGGGUACCUAGAGCACAUCUGCCAGCUCAUAGAGAAGAUCGGACAGCUACAGGAACACAACCUUCGACUACAGAAACAGAUCUGUGGCCUGCAGAAGGAAGGCAGAGUGAUCAAGACUAAAGAGAACAAGAUGGUGCAUCUGGCUUGAAUGUUAUCAGCCCUAAACCACAGGAAAAAUAUCAACAUGUUUUACAAUGUUUUGUGAAGUCAUGGGUGUUUUUCUAACAUGGCCUUUGUUUUUCCCUUUGGAUUUGAACUGCUCCAAAAUUAGAAAUUCCAAAAUGUUGAGGCUAAAGGGAACUUAUCUUUGUUAAAAGCGGAUACAGGUUAGAAAAUGUGUGCAUACCUCAUUUCCAUUAAAGUUCACGGAAAAUGUCCUCAAACUCAAGUUGUUUAUCUAAAGUUAUGUAUUGUCAUAUAAAAUCACUAUUAAAAAAUGCUUUUUUUAAGAACUGCUCACUGAAAGUUUCUUUGGAGAACCAAGAAUAGUUCUUAUAUUGCACUGCACUUGCACAAAUUUCUUUUUGGAAUCUUUAUUUUUAAUAUCAUUUUUGGAACCUAUAUUUUAAGUAAUGCAGCUGUCCAUGUGCCCAUCUUCUACCCCAGUUCUCCCGCUGCUCUAGACCUUUGCUUUCUGACUAAAGGCCGUGGAAUUAUAUUGUGUAGACAUCUUCCUGGCCUCUGUGCUGUUGAAUGAGAACAGUUCUGUUCAUGGUUUUUCAGAGAGUCAUCUCUAAACUGCCUCUGUCAGUUCGGGCCCUGGGGCCGGAAAAGACUUCCACGGUCACAGUGAGUGAGCUCAGUGGGAGCCUGCACUUCAAAGUUAUCAAAGAAAGCAAGAGAGAAAGACAGGCAAAAGAAAGGAGGACAUUUUAAAAAGGUUCUUCUUUACAGAAACCAAACAUAGGUUCUGAAUAAGAACUGA
ensembl:lncRNA